GACGAACCGUGCGAACGUUAUUCGGAAUCACUGGGCUUAAAGCGCGUGUAGGCGGGUCGGCACGUCGGGAGCUGAAAUCCCCCGGCUCAACCGGGGAAGGGGCGCCGAUACGACCGGCCUGGAGGGACGUAGGGGGGGGCUGGAACUUCCGGUGGAGCGGUGAAAUGCGUUGAGAUCGGAAGGAACGCCCGUGGCGAAAGCGAGCCCCUGGACGUCUACUGACGCUGAGGAGCGAAAGCGUGGGGAGCGAACAGG
rnacentral:rRNA from 1 species